rnacentral:piRNA from 1 species
UGCAAGCCUCCUUGAGGGUUUAUGGG